CCGCCUACGGGGGGCAGCAGUGAGGAAUAUUGGUCAAUGGCCGGAAGGCUGAACCAGCCAAGUCGCGUGAGGGAAUAAGGCCCUAUGGGUCGUAAACCUCUUUUGUCAGGGAGCAAAGGCGUCCACGUGUGGACGAGAGGAGAGUACCUGAAGAAAAAGCAUCGGCUAACUCCGUGCCAGCAGCCGCGGUAAUACGGAGGAUGCGAGCGUUAUCCGGAUUUAUUGGGUUUAAAGGGUGCGUAGGCGGACUGUCAAGUCAGCGGUAAAAUAGGGGGGCUCAACCUCCGCCCGCCGUUGAAACUGAG
rnacentral:rRNA from 1 species